GCAAAUCUGACAAAGAAGAAUCUUUUGAACUAUAUUCAUAAUGAUGAUGAAAAACACAAACAAAGACAAAGACAAAAACAUUGCACCUGGAGUAGCAUAUUAAGUCUUUCCUUAUGUUAGGAAAGGAUUAAAAAUGGUUGUGAGAAAUUUGCAUGAAAACACACAUGCCUAACCAAAAGGGUGAUCUUUCUUACCCUCAGAAUUGACCAAAAAUGUGGAUAACAUUUCAAUUCUCCAUUUAUGAAGAUAAGCAAGAAUUUAGAAAAGAACAAAUAAGUAGGAAAGCCACAAAGUAGGUGACAAAUGAAGAUGAAGAGGGAGUGGAAAGUGUAACUCAUUUUAGGAACAAAGCUGUGGAUUAAAGACUCUAAGGAGACUUCUUCAGGCUCUAUGCUCUGACAAAAGGAGUUCUGCGUUGGUGCAUAAUUUUCUCACAGAUCUUUGGUUCUUUGAUGUGUCUGAUGCACAAAUAAAAAUGUGAGUUGAAAGUUUGCA
rnacentral:lncRNA from 1 species